rnacentral:lncRNA from 1 species
AAGAGAUCUAAUACCCUGCUAUGAACCAUCACACAUAAACUCCAUCAAUACUCUACCAACACAUCCAAACUAGCAAGAAGUUAGGUUGCUCACCUUGCACAGCUCCAACUCAGGUUGAAGCACACCAAAACCAAUCUACAAGGGUCACUAAAACUCAGCCAAGGUGGUUCACAAACCUGCUGUGAACAUACAUCAAAACAGCAUCACUACUAUCACCAAUAUAACUAGUAUAGCCUCAAAAUAGAGAGAGUAGUUAGCUAAUCACCUUCCCAAAGCUUCAAUUCAGCUUUCCUCUAGUUUAGGAUUGGAGAAUUACAGCCAAAACACCUUCUCUACAGCUGCUACAAGCUUCCCCAACUCAGCUGGCAGCAAGGAAGCAAAACAUAAUCUCAAACCCACAACUAUAGCAUCAAACUAGAGAGAAAAGUUGGCUAGUCACCUUGUACAGCUUCAACUCAGUUUCUACUGA